rnacentral:tRNA from 1 species
GGGGCAGGGGCUCAGGGGCAGAGCACCCGCCUUGCACAUGGGAGGCUCUGGGUUUGAUCCUCAGCAGCACCU